CCUACGGGUGGCAGCAGUAGGGAAUUUUCCACAAUGGGCGAAAGCCUGAUGGAGCAACGCCGCGUGCAGGAUGAAUGCCUUAGGGUUGUAAACUGCUUUUAUAUGUGACGAUUAUGACGGUAGCAUAUGAAUAAGGAUCGGCUAACUCCGUGCCAGCAGCCGCGGUCAUACGGAGGAUCCAAGCGUUAUCCGGAAUUACUGGGCGUAAAGAGUUGCGUAGGUGGCAUAGUAAGUAGAUAGUGAAAGCGUGUGGCUCAACCAUACAUCCAUUAUCUAAACUGCUAAGCUAGAAGACGAGAGAGGUAGAUGGAAUUCCCAGUGUAGGAGUGAAAUCCGUAGAUAUUGGGAGGAACACCGAUGGCGUAGGCAGUCUACUGGCUCGUUCUUGACACUAAGGCACGAAAGCGUGGGGAGCAAACGGGAUUAGAUACCCUAGUAGUC
rnacentral:rRNA from 1 species